rnacentral:rRNA from 1 species
UAGGGAAUCUUCGGCAAUGGGGGGAACCCUGACCGAGCAACGCCGCGUGAGUGAAGAAGGUUUUCGGAUCGUAAAGCUCUGUUGUUAAGGAGAACGAGUGUGAGAAUGGAAAGUUCAUACUGUGACGGUACUUAACCAGAAAGGGACGGCUAACUACGUGCCAGCAGCCGCGGUAAUACGUAGGUCCCGAGCGUUGUCCGGAUUUAUUGGGCGUAAAGCGAGCGCAGGCGGUUAGAUAAGUCUGAAGUUAAAGGCAGUUGCUCAACCAUUGUAGGCUUUGGAAACUGUUUAACUUGAGUGCAGAAGGGGAGAGUGGAAUUCCAUGUGUAGCGGUGAAAUGCGUAGAUAUAUGGAGGAACACCGGUGGCGAAAGCGGCUCUCUGGUCUGUAACUGACGCUGAGGCUCGAAAGCGUGGGGAGCGAACAGG